rnacentral:rRNA from 1 species
AUCUGCCGAUUGGGGGGGGACAACAUCUCGAAAGGGAUGAUAAUACCGCAUACGUCCUACGGGAGAAAGCAGGGGACCUUCGGGCCUUGCGCUAAUAGAUGAGCCUAAGUCGGAUUAGCUAGUUGGUGGGGUAAAGGCCUACCAAGGCGACGAUCUGUAGCGGGUCUGAGAGGAUGAUCCGCCACACUGGGACUGAGACACGGCCCAGACUCCUACGGGAGGCAGCAGUGGGGAAUAUUGGACAAUGGGGGGAACCCUGAUCCAGCCAUGCCGCGUGUGUGAAGAAGGCCUUUUGGUUGUAAAGCACUUUAAGCGAGGAGGAGGCUACCGAGAUUAAUACUCUUGGAUAGUGGACGUUACUCGCAGAAUAAGCACCGGCUAACUCUGUGCCAGCAGCCGCGGUAAUACAGAGGGUGCAAGCGUUAAUCGGAUUUACUGGGCGUAAAGCGCGCGUAGGUGGCCAAUUAAGUCAAAUGUGAAAUCCCCGAGCUUAACUUGGGAAUUGCAUUCGAUACUGGUUGGCUAGAGUAUGGGAGAGGAUGGUAGAAUUCCAGGUGUAGCGGUGAAAUGCGUAGAGAUCUGGAGGAAUACCGAUGGCGAAGGCAGCCAUCUGGCCUAAUACUGACACUGAGGUGCGAAAGCAUGGGGAGCAAACAGGAUUAGAUACCCUGGUAGUCCAUGCCGUAAACGAUGUCUACUAGCCGUUGGGGCCUUUGAGGCUUUAGUGGCGCAGCUAACGCGAUAAGUAGACCGCCUGGGGAGUACGGUCGCAAGACUAAAACUCAAAUGAAUUGACGGGGGCCCGCACAAGCGGUGGAGCAUGUGGUUUAAUUCGAUGCAACGCGAAGAACCUUACCUGGUCUUGACAUAGUAAGAACUUUCCAGAGAUGGAUUGGUGCCUUCGGGAACUUACAUACAGUGCUGCAUGGCUGUCGUCAGCUC